GUAUUUUGGUUUUAACCAAGACUUCAUUCUCAGACUUUAAGAGUAUGAAAAAGUGGAGAAUAGGGAUCAACCUAUCCUCCCACAGUUCGACAAAGGUGUAUGAGAUGAAGGAAGGGCCCGACCCGAGUGGCGUCAGGACUCCAACCAAGUUGUUUUCGAUAAUGAUCCUUCCGCAGGUUCACCUACGGAAA
rnacentral:misc_RNA from 1 species